CCGAGUGAGGGUCCUCUGGGCCCGACCUCCCAACCCUUUGUUUACCGAACCUCUGUUGCUUCGGCGGACCCGUCUCACGACCGCCGGAGGAUCCGCCCCCUGGGGCGCCCUCUGGCCAGCGUCCGCCGAUAGCCAACCCUCAAACUCCUGAAUAAAUCAUGUUAUGUGUCUAAGUCUUAUGAUUCAAAAUCAAUAAAGCA
rnacentral:misc_RNA from 1 species